GUUUGAUCCUGGCUCAGGAUGAACGCUGGCGGCGUGCCUAACACAUGCAAGUCGAACGAAGCAUACGGGACGGAGAUUCGUCGAAGCCCUGUAUGACUUAGUGGCGGACGGGUGAGUAAUGUAUGAGCAACCUGCCUUUCAGAGGGGGACAACAGUUGGAAACGACUGCUAAUACCGCAUAAUGUAUCGAGGCGGCAUCGCCAUGAUACCAAAGGAGCAAUCCGCUGAAAGAUGGGCUCAUAUCUGAUUAGCUUGUUGGCGGGGUAACAGCCCACCAAGGCGACGAUCAGUAGCCGGACUGAGAGGUUGAACGGCCACAUUGGGACUGAGAUACGGCCCAGACUCCUACGGGAGGCAGCAGUGGGGAAUAUUGGGCAAUGGGCGAAAGCCCUGACCCAGCAACGCCGCGUGAAGGAAGAAGGUCUUCGGAUUGUAAACUUCUUUUAUGAGGGACGAAGGACGUGACGGUACCUCAUGAAUAAGCCACGGCUAACUACGUGCCAGCAGCGGC
rnacentral:rRNA from 1 species